CUGCGUGUGGUUCUCUGCAUAGCGCACAAGUCUUUCGCCUUUUACUAAAGACUUCCG
rnacentral:snRNA from 1 species